UACGAGGGGGGCGAGCGUUGUUCGGAAUUAUUGGGCGUAAAGGGUGCGUAGGCGGUUUGGUAGGUCUUGUGUGAAAUCUCCAGGCUCAACUUGGAGUCUGCACGAGAAACUGCCGGGCUUGAGUGUGGGAGAGGUGAGUGGAAUUCCCGGUGUAGCGGUGAAAUGCGUAGGUAUCGGGAGGAACACCUGUGGCGAAAGCGGCUCACUGGACCAUAACUGACGCUGAUGCACGAAAGCUAGGGGAGCAAACAGG
rnacentral:rRNA from 1 species